rnacentral:rRNA from 1 species
AUUGAACGCUGGCGGCAUGCUUUACACAUGCAAGUCGAACGGUAGAGGGGGCAACCCCUCGAGAGUGGCGAACGGGUGAGUAAUAUAUCGGAACGUGCCCAGUCGUGGGGGAUAACGUAGCGAAAGUUACGCUAAUACCGCAUACGAUCUACGGAUGAAAGCGGGGGAUCGCAAGACCUCGCGCGAUUGGAGCGGCCGAUAUCAGAUUAGGUAGUUGGUGGGGUAAAGGCUCACCAAGCCAACGAUCUGUAGCUGGUCUGAGAGGACGACCAGCCACACUGGAACUGAGACACGGUCCAGACUCCUACGGGAGGCAGCAGUGGGGAAUUCUGGACAAUGGACGCAAGUCUGAUCCAGCCAUUCCGCGUGCAGGAUGAAGGCCCUCGGGUUGUAAACUGCUUUUGUACGGAACGAAAAGGUUUCCAUUAAUACUGGGAGCUCAUGACGGUACCGUAAGAAUAAGCACCGGCUAACUACGUGCCAGCAGCCGCGGUAA